GUGUACAGAAAGCAUUGAAUUGAGAUAUUUGAGUGGUCGUUUGAAUUGGUACCACUUCGUAUCAGCUUUCCGGUAUAUCCAUUGGAGCAGGGGAGAGCAGGUUUAUGCAAAAAAAACUUGCCUGUAAAUUAAGUAAGCCAACUUUUUGAAUACCGAGCAGCUGAAGAAAGGGAGUUAACGGCGACAUAAAAUGGACUUUUACUUGUAAGGAAAUAUAAAGAAAAUAUUUAACGUAAAACUUAGUCCAGCAGCACCUUAAAUGAAAUUUAAAAUGGGUAUUCAGGAAAUUUCAUAACUCAGCUGAAGAAAGGGAGUUAACGGCAACAUAAAAUGGACUUUUACUUGUAAGGAAAUAUAAAGAAAAUAUUUAACGUAAAACUUAGUUCAGCAGCUCCUUAAAUAAAAUUUAAAAUGGGUAUUCAGGAAUUUCACAA